rnacentral:lncRNA from 1 species
GCGUACGGCACCGGCCUGCUCGGCCGCGAGGCGUGGAGCUCUUCGCACCGGGAGCUCGCCGAAGCCACUCGGCCAAUCAGAAACUUCCUGCCUCGGACCUGCCCCCCGACCCCGAGCCGUCCGGUGGAGUCGCCUCGAGCUGCGGAGACAAGAGGGGGAAACCACUGUGAUGCCAGCCUGGCCCUGGGUGGGGAGACGAGGUCGGCAGGUGUCCUGAUGAGGAAGCCUGAGACGUCAACACCCAUUGCGGGGAGACCUCGGCUCUGCAGCCUUCCUUCCUCGGUGGUGUGCAUCUUGCCAAUUUGCAGGACCAAGAAAGAAACCCAGCUGCUCUCAGAGGACCCGAACUUCAAAUUUAAACCGACCUCCUCGCUUUGCGUCUCGCCUUCUGGGCUUACAGCAUUUGAAUGGGAGCGGAGGUGGGGUGGGGUG